rnacentral:sRNA from 1 species
AGGAAGAAUUCCAUUUUCCUUCCUCAUCAUC